UUGACCUCGGAUCAGGUAGGAAUACCCGCUGAACUUAAGCAUAUCAGA
rnacentral:rRNA from 1 species